GACGAACGCUGGCGGCGUGCUUAACACAUGCAAGUCGAACGGAAAGGCCCUGCUUUUGUGGGGUGCUCGAGUGGCGAACGGGUGAGUAACACGUGAGUAACCUGCCCUUGACUUUGGGAUAACUUCAGGAAACUGGGGCUAAUACCGGAUAGGAGCUCCUGCUGCAUGGUGGGGGUUGGAAAGUUUCGGCGGUUGGGGAUGGACUCGCGGCUUAUCAGCUUGUUGGUGGGGUAGUGGCUUACCAAGGCUUUGACGGGUAGCCGGCCUGAGAGGGUGACCGGGCAGCUUGGGAGUGAGAUACGGACGAGACUGCUGCCGGAGGCAGCAGUGGGGGAUGUGGCACAAUGGGCGGGAGCCUGAUGCAGCAGCGCCGCGGGGGGGAUGACGGGCUUCGGGUUGUAGACCGCUUUCGCCUGUGACGAAGCGGGAGUGACGGGAAUGGGUAAAGAAGCACCGGCAAACUACGUG
rnacentral:rRNA from 1 species